UCCUUCGAUGUCGGCUCU
rnacentral:ncRNA from 3 species